rnacentral:misc_RNA from 1 species
GAGAAGAGAACAUGAGAAACGGUACUGCUUAGCUGAUGCUAUUUUCCACAUUCACAAUCUCGGUACAAAUGGCUGCAAAUUCAGAAGUUGAACCGUCCUCCAUCGAUUAAAAAAAAAAACAAAGCAAGCAAAAUCCUCUUGUAAACAAAAGAAAACAGUUCUAGAAAUUCACUCUUAGGAGAAGCCUACUAAAGUAACAUUUACUUGCCACCCCCGUGCGUGCCAUUAUAUCAACAAUCUUACAUCACUUAGAUUAAUAGAUGAUAAGAGGCUAACUUUUUACCAUUUUUUAUGGUUAAGCAAAUAAAUAGUUCUAUAUAACCAUCAAUAAAAGAAGGGGGAAAACGUCACAUACUUUGACAGAGAAAAUCUCUUGGAAUCAGAUUGUUUUCUAAUGACUUGCUUCUUCUAUCAGCAAGAAUGGGUACCAAAAAUUACAAAAUAUAACCGAAAUGUACGGUAAUGUGACAUAUAACAAUGUUUUGAUGAUCAUAACCAAAUUUCUUCACAGAGGCAAACAUCACAGCUACUUGACAGCUCAAAAAAAGAUCAGGAUAUAAAAAAACUUAAUUAUUAUUCCUUUGCAAUGGAAGAUCGAGGAAUAUUGCUUUUUUUUUUUACUUUGUUGUUUUAAACAGCAUCUGUAUUCUGUUUGCAUUUCACAAACUAUCCCAAACAAAAUUUAUAAUCUUUAAAUGUUUGGCAAUGCUAUUUCAGCAGUGGGUUCAGUAUAUAAUAGUAUGAAAAUGCAAAUCAAUCAAUUUUUUCAUGUCCAUUAACUAAUUGUUUUGCUAAUAUGAAAAUGUUUAAGCCAAUCAAUUCCAAGAAUCCAUUGAACAUAUGCUAAUUGUCAUACAUGACCUAAGAGCCAGACUUUAUAUGUAUAUAUAAAGAUUUUGACCUCUAACUAACUGCAGGAACCAAACAAACGCUGACUUUUUGACAUCUGGAAAAAGAAAAUGGUGAUAUGUCUGUUAGAUCCGUACUACAAAUACUAAUCUUUUAAUUUGGGAAGCACAUCAGCGCUACAUCAACUAAUCUAUUCGUCUGAACAAAGCCCAGAUGUCCAAACAUAAUAUUUGAGAGUGCAGGAAAGCUGAUCUGAAGCGCUCUAAAUCAAAAUUUCAGCAACCUGUAUUUGGUAUUGUAUCAUUUCUUCUUAUUUGCUACAACUCUGGAAUUCUAAUUACUAUUCCCACACUUCUCACUUAACUCAGGGAACAGAUGGACAGCCAAACAUCCAAAUUCGAUUGCUUUGAUCAAUUUUUGUGUUAAUUUCGUGUAAGCAUCAAACACCUCCAUUGGGUUAGCAAUAUUAGAUUACUAGUGAAUAAAUAAACAAAUUCUAGUUCAAACAACCAUGAAAAUCUAAAACCUACCACUACAAGUAUCAACCUAACCAGUAAAAAAGAGCUAUAAUGGGACCAAAUUUUCAUAGAACCACCAAUAUUUUAUUUCAAUUAUUUCACCAAUUAAUUUGACACACUUAAAUCAAGAGGUAGAAAACUAAUCACAGAUUGUUGAUAAAGCAUAUGAGAUUAACUUUAGCACAACAUGCAUUGACACAAGCCUAUAAUAUAUUUAAAUUUCAUGCUAAUCAAAACCAAAUCAUAAAAACCACCACACUAACAUCUGAAAAAUACCGUUUAAGAAAAUCAGUAAUUUCCACGCGGGGACUAACACAUUACCAAAUUUCAAUCAGCAUUUCCUUCAAUAGCAUAGCACAACAAGAACCAUUAGCCUACUUCCUAUGCUCUUUUCUGGCCACAAUCUUGAAAUUCCUGUUAGUUGUUGCUGCAAGGAAGAAAAGAGCAUAUUGAAUUAACCCCAAUCAACAUAUUGAAUUAGCCAAAUAAAGAAAAUUAGUGGACUUAUUAACUUCUUCCACAAUUCAGUAUGGCUUUUGCAGAACCCAGCAACAAUUGUUUCCACCUUCCUUUUUCCUUCUUUAUAAUCAAUACAAAGAUCCUCUUUCAACCCACAAGUAACGUGAAAUAUCAAGGGACACUUAGGCUCAGAACACUGAAUAACACAUCCCUUUCUGCUCUUACACACGUAGCACUUACCUUCCCACCACCUCUUAGGAACCUUAGAGCAAUUAAUUCCAUCACGGCCAUCUAGGUCGUCAAAGAACGCUUCAGGAAUCAAAACUGCAAACACAACGUGGACCCACAACCAAUCUCUGGUGGGUUCCAUAGCACCCCCCUUUUUUGGACAUAGGCAACAGAUGAAGACCUUAUUUUGUCUGUCAGAUUGAGAAUCCAAACAGUGGGCACAAAACCAAUCACCUUCAGGGACACCUUUUAUCAACGGAUUGCCAUAGCAAGUAGUGUGCACCAUUAGAUCACAUCCAUCACAGAACACUAUGGGAUCCAUUGGGUCCCCAUCUGUGCACUGACAAAUAGCGCACACAAUCCCAUCAUCAUCAUCAUAUUCUUCUUCAAGAACUACACCCACUUCAGAACAGAGGCAGGAUAAAGCAGAGACCAGAAUCCAUUGAAAAGUGAACAGGGUAUUGUGUAUAGAUGAGAGUUUAGGUAAGAGAGAAGAGUAUAUAGGGAAACAGAUUGAUGUGGCAUACAAUGGAAGCAGAAGCAGAGAGAGAGAGAGAUGAUUU